UACGAGGGGUCCUAGCGUUGUUCGGAAUCAUUGGGCGUAAAGAGCUCGUAGGUGGCUUAGUAAGUCAGGUGUGAAAGCCCAGGGCUCAACCCUGGAAGUGCACUUGAAACUGCAUAGCUUGAGUACGGUAGAGGUGAGUGGAAUUCCUGGUGUAGUGGUGAAAUGCGUAGAUAUCGGGAGGAACACCAGUGGCGAAGGCGACUUCCUGGCCUGUUCUUGACGCUGAGGCGCGAAAGCUAGGGUAGCAAACGGG
rnacentral:rRNA from 1 species